UACGUAGGUGGCAAGCGUUGUCCGGAUUUACUGGGCGUAAAGGGAGCGUAGGCGGACUUUUAAGUGGGAUGUGAAAUACCCGGGCUCAACCUGGGUGCUGCAUUCCAAACUGGAAGUCUAGAGUACAGGAGGGGAAAGCGGAAUUCCUAGUGUAGCGGUGAAAUGCGUAGAGAUUAGGAAGAACACCGGUGGCGAAGGCGGCUUUCUGGACUGUAACUGACGCUGAGGCUCGAAAGCGUGGGUAACAAAC
rnacentral:rRNA from 1 species